rnacentral:tRNA from 1 species
UGGCUCAGUGGUAGAGUGCUUGCCUUGCAUGCACGAGACCCUGGUUUGAUUCCAGA